AUACGGAGGGAGCAAGCGUUAUUCGGAAUCACUGGGCGUAAAGGACGCGUAGGCGGGUUGGCAAGUCAGAUGUGAAAUCCUACAGCUUAACUGUAGAACUGCAUUUGAAACUGCUAACCUAGAGUAUGGGAGGGGGAGAUGGAAUUAGUGGUGUAGGGGUAAAAUCCGUAGAUAUCACUAGGAAUACCGAAAGCGAAGGCGAUCUCCUGGAACAUAACUGACGCUAAGGCGUGAAAGCGUGGGGAGCAAACAGGAUUAGAUACCCUAGUAGUCC
rnacentral:rRNA from 1 species